rnacentral:piRNA from 1 species
UCUCUUGAACUCAUUUCCCGUGGCAGAGGC